rnacentral:rRNA from 1 species
AAGCCAACUUCAAGAUAAGAUUUCCCACCGCAAGGGUAAGACCCCAGAAAGACUAUCUGGUUGAUAGGUCGAAGGUGUAAGUGCAGCAAUGUAUUUAGCUUAUCGAUACUAAUAGGUCGAGGACUUGACCAAUAUUAUUUGAUGUUAUUCAUUAAGAUAUAUGUGCAGUUUUUAGAGUGUUAACUCUAUGUAAAGUACUAACUUCAAUUGAUGAAGUAUAUAUCGUAAAAACAAUUACUAUUUAGUACUUCAAAACUAUUGACAUUUAAAAAUAAAGAUGUUAAUAUAAUACUUGUCUUAUAAAUAGGCAAUAUGUGGUUAUAAUAGCAAAGAGGAUACACCUGUUCCCAUUCCGAACACAGAAGUUAAGCUCUUUAGCGCUGAUGGUACUUGGUGGGAAACUGCCUGGGAGAGUAGGACGUAGCCACGUGAAUAUUCCAAGGUAGCUCAAUGGUGGAGCAACCGGCUGUUAACCGGUAGGCUGUGGGUUCGAGCCCCACCCUUGGAGCCAAAAAAAGCCGAAGUGGCGGAACUGGCAGACGCACAGGACUUAAAAUCCUGCGGGACUUACCUCUCGUACCGGUUCGAUUCCGGUCUUCGGCACUUAUAAAACAAUAUCGCGGGGUGGAGCAGUUGGCAGCUCGUCGGGCUCAUAACCCGAAGGUCGUAGGUUCAAGUCCUGCCUCCGCAACCAUUAAAAUGGCUCGUUGGUCAAGAGGUUAAGACACCGCCCUUUCACGGCGGUAACAGGGGUUCAAUUCCCCUACGAGUCACCAAUUAAAUAUGCGGGUGUAGCUCAAUGGUAGAGUUCUGGCCUUCCAAGCCAGCUGUGAGGGUUCGAUCCCCUUCACCCGCUCCAAAAAUGGGACCAUAGCUCAGCUGGGAGAGCACCUGCCUUACAAGCAGGGGGUCANCAUGAAUCUGGUCUUGGGACACUGUCAGGUGGGCAGUUUGACUGGGGCGGUCGCCUCCCAAAAGGUAACGGAGGCGCUCAAAGGUUCUCUCAGUACGGUCGGAAAUCGUACGUAGAGUGUAAAGGCAAAAGAGAGCUUGAUUGCAAGACAUACAGGUCGAGCAAGGAUGAAAAUCGGACUUAGUGAUCCGGUGGUUCUGCGUGGAAGGGCCAUCGCUCAACGGAUAAAAGCUACCCUGGGGAUAACAGGCUUAUCUCCCCCAAGAGUCCACAUCGACGGGGAGGUUUGGCACCUCGAUGUCGGCUCAUCACAUCCUGGGGCUGUAGUAGGUCCCAAGGGUUGGGCUGUUCGCCCAUUAAAGUGGUACGCGAGCUGGGUUCAGAACGUCGUGAGACAGUUCGGUCCCUAUCCGUCGCAGGCGUAGGAAAUUUGAGAAGACCUGUCCUUAGUACGAGAGGACCGGGAUGGACGUACCUCUGGUGUACCAGUUGUCCUGCCAAGGGCAUGGCUGGGUAGCUAUGUACGGAAUGGAUAAGCGCUGAAAGCAUCUAAGCGCGAAGCCAACUUCAAGAUAAGAUUUCCCACCGCAAGGGUAAGACCCCAGAAAGACUAUCUGGUUGAUAGGUCGAAGGUGUAAGUGCAGCAAUGUAUUUAGCUUAUCGAUACUAAUAGGUCGAGGACUUGACC